rnacentral:rRNA from 1 species
UACAGGGGGUGCAAACGUUGCUCGGAAUCAUUGGGCGUAAAGCGCACGUAGGCGGUCUGUUAUGUCGGAUGUGAAAGCCCUCGGCUCAACUGAGGAAGUGCAUCCGAAACUGGCAGGCUAGAGUACUAAAGAGGGUCGCGGAAUUCCCGGUGUAGUGGUGGAAUGCGUAGAGAUCCGGAGGAACACCAGCGGCGAAGGCGGCAUCCUGGACUGGUACUGACGCUCAGGAGCGAAAGCGUGGGGAGCGAGCCGG